rnacentral:rRNA from 1 species
UGGGGAAUAUUGCACAAUGGGGGAAACCCUGAUGCAGCAACGCCGCGUGCGGGAUGACGGCCUUCGGGUUGUAAACCGCUUUCAGCCAUGACGAAGCUUUUGUGACGGUAGUGGCAGAAGAAGCACCGGCUAACUACGUGCCAGCAGCCGCGGUGAUACGUAGGGUGCGAGCGUUGUCCGGAAUUAUUGGGCGUAAAGAGCUUGUAGGCGGUUUGUCGCGUCGAAAGUGUAGACUCAGUGCUUAACGCUGAGCCUGCUUUCGAUACGGGCUGACUAGAGGAAGGUAGGGGAGAAUGGAAUUCCCGGUGGAGCGGUGGAAUGCGCAGAUAUCGGGAGGAACACCAGUGGCGAAGGCGGUUCUCUGGACCUUUCCUGACGCUGAGAAGCGAAAGCGUGGGUAGCAAACAGG